rnacentral:rRNA from 1 species
CCUACGGUUGGCAGCAGUGAGGAAUAUUGGUCAAUGGCCGUAAGGCUGAACCAGCCAAGUCGCGUGAAGGAAGAAGGAUCUAUGGUUUGUAAACUUCUUUUAUAGGGGAAUAAAGGUAUCCACGUGUGGAUAUUUGCAUGUACCCUAUGAAUAAGCAUCGGCUAACUCCGUGCCAGCAGCCGCGGUAAUACGGAGGAUGCGAGCGUUAUCCGGAUUUAUUGGGUUUAAAGGGUGCGUAGGCGGGCUUUUAAGUCAGCGGUAAAAAUUCGGGGCUCAACCCCGUCCGGCCGUUGAAACUGGGGGCCUUGAGUGGGCGAGAAGAAGGCGGAAUGCGUGGUGUAGCGGUGAAAUGCAUAGAUAUCACGCAGAACCCCGAUUGCGAAGGCAGCCUUCCGGCGCCCUACUGACGCUGAGGCACGAAAGUGCGGGGAUCGAACAGGAUUAGAUACCCUUGUAGUC